rnacentral:tRNA from 1 species
GGCCACGUGGCUUAGUUGGUUAAAGCGCCUGUCUAGUAAACAGGAAAUCCUGAGUUCGAAUCUCAGUGGUACCU